rnacentral:lncRNA from 1 species
UAAAACCUUAUUUUGAUAAAAUUGAUAGCAGGAAUGAGGAAUGUAAACUCCUCACACCACCAUAACCAUGCAACAGAGAGGUAAGUCGAGCUUAGAAUCUAAAUAAGAUCUUCUCGGGAGGCAACCCGAGCACUAACGGUAUUGAUUUCUUUAAAUUUAAGUUUUUAACAUCUAAAUUAUCCUUGAACACAGGUUUUCUAAAAUCCAC